CGAUCCGUUCAUUUUAGUGCUCGACAUAGCCCGGAAUCCAUUAUGCACGUGCGAUGGUAUAAAACCCUAACUCGCCGGAAUCCAUUUUGUCGCUUCCCCAGCUCAAUUCCACUCCCUGUGUGUGAUAUCGAGGCCUUCCAAUCCGAACAAGGCCUCCGUCGCCGGCAGCGCCGCCUACGAUGAAGUGGCCGUCAAGCCCUCCUCGCACGAUCCAACACAAGAUACAAGGUGGAAAAUGAGCGUGAUGUCUUAUUCUAGAGUGAUAGGUGAUCAAGGGAAGGCUCCUUUGCUAUGAAUCGGAAGACCUCUUUAAACACAACAUGAACAAGAGGAUCCAUGCCUCUAGUAUAGAGAAAGGGGUGUGGGAUUGUUUGGAGAGAUCAAGUGGUCAGAGUUGCUGCAGAUUGAAAUUAAUACUAGAAAUCAUGAAGUCAGAAAUGUUGAAGGAUUAUUCAUCAAACUGCUAACAUAUGCUAGAUACAUGCCAUUUUGGUUCUUUGAAAGAGGACAUUUAAACAAUCAAGGCCACAAAAAAAAAAACUAUUGAGAACUAUAUGGUUGGAAAGGAAUUGAUGUAUAUUUGACGGUGGAGAUGUUGAUAGUUGUGCUAAUGGAGGAGGGUUUUCUGGGGUUGGAUGCUGAAGAUCCCUUUGGAAGCCAAGCUGUAGAAAGAUAAUUAAUGAGAAUUGAAGAAGCUUCGGAGUCCUGAAGACUAGACAACCUCUUUAUGUUUACAUUUUUCAGCUAGUCAGGGGAGCUUAGUUGCUAAUGUAAUGUAGUUGUCUAACUAUUUCAGAUGUUUCUAUGGCUGUUGAACUUUGUGUUAAACUGUGUCGUGUAAUAUUUUGGUAGUUUGAUGUAGUAGUUGUAGCUGUAGAGGAUUAAGAGGGUAUACAGUUUGAGUUUCUACAUGGUAGGCAACUAGUCUGGUAAGCAAUUUGUAUAGCGGCUCUCUUGUUAUUUCCAAGGACUAUUCUAUCGAGACAUGAAGAACUUAAGCUAAUAAGUAGUUAGCUAAUCAAGUUUUUAAGAGUUACAGUUCAACUUAAGAGAACCAGUUAUAUCUUUUAUGUUAGGACUUAAGCAGCUUGUUAAUCCUCUAUUACUUUAGAAGUUUGGAUUGCUUAGGUAACAAUUACCACAUCGGCUAGGAGCCUAGGACCAUAUACACUUAGUUCAUCCCGUUUAGUUGUGAAAAUUAAAAGUUGAUGUUAUAUUUGUUCUAGAUCUAUUUUCAGAAUAUAUUUAGCUAUUUACUGCCUUUUUUAUAGUUCAACGACCAUAUUAUUUGUGCUAAAUUGCUGCAUCCUUUUAUUCCUAUCUUUUUUAAAGCAGGAGCCAACAAUGAAAUCAACAAAACUUUUGACGGUAUCAUGGUCAACUGAUUUCAGGUACAAAGACAACGAUUAGAUUAAUCUUCAAAGUAGAUAACAAAAUUCAGUGGCACAAAGAACGUCUUUUAAGCAAGCAAACAGAAAGGCAUCAAAAUCUAAGCUGUGAUGGCAAUACUUCCUCAGACUGAAGCAUCUCACCUUGUUCUUCUCACAUUCUAUCUUCGAAGACUCCUGCAAAGCGUCAAUAAAGAACAGUUGAACAAGCACAAGAAGGCAAAAACAAAUCCCAGUCAUCAUUCUCAAGACUAGAAUGCUUCCAUCCAUGACAUCAAAUAGUUCUGGAUUUGAGCAUGAGAUAUGCACACUGUUUGACCAAAUGGAAAUAUAGUUUAGCAAUGGGCAUAACAUAAUAUGUUGGAAAGACAGCAACAAAACUGCAUGGAUAUGCAAGAAGGAAACAAUGAAUGAUACAUGCCUCCUGAACACAUCAACAGCUGAUUCAAACUGCUCUGGCACCAAACCAGAUGUGCUGGUGCCACUGCACUACCUCUCAAAUGGACUCCAAACACGCCCAUUGUGAUCAUCUACUGAGAUUGACAUGACAUGGUGCGGUGCCAUGAUCGAAUAGGGUUGACAGUCGGUUCCAGGAUGACAAGAACAAUGAUGGGGGAGCUGCAAGACUCUGUAGUCGAAGAGGGGUCAAGAGUCAGCAGUGGAGCAGUCUGAUUGCGAACUGCACCAGGAUCUGAAGACAGACACUGGAAUUGAAUUGAAGCAACGAGGUGGAAUCUGAGGGGUCAACUGAGGCUGUUGAAAUUUGUACAAAUUGACUAAAAUGUCUCCAUAUUCAGCAAAUGCUCCACAGCAUCUCGUGAACUGGGUUGCUCUGCUUCUUUUGAGUUCAAUCAUGUCAAUUAUUCUAAAGACACAUGUGCAUAGUUUAGGGUUUAUUCGUCUCCACCUCAAACAAUUCUUCUCACCUGUUUCUGUAAUCAAGCAAUGAAUCUUUUCUUCA